GAUGGUAUAGUUCAGUGGUAGAACAUGUGCUUGUCAUGCACAAGGUCCUGGGUUCAAUCACCAGUGCCUCU
rnacentral:tRNA from 1 species